ACUGUGGUAAACUAAACUAACAUAAACUAAAUAUACAAACUAAUCUUCACUGUGGGAAACAAACAUGGUUCUCAGAAAAUAAGUCUGGAGUCACAUGGUGGUGGUUAGUGUCAUACUAUUGGUUAGACAGUUUCCCCUUUAAUGAGGUUGACAGUUAAAACUGUCUCUUACAUUAGACUGAGUCACACAGAGGCUCCAGCUGUGCAGAGAACAGACACAAACCUACAACUGAGAUAACAGCAGACUUUACAACAGUAGAAGUUACAACAGUAGAAGUUACAACAGUAGAAGUUACAACAGUAGAAGUUACUGCAUUUGAACACACGUGUGUAAAGAUGUCAGAGGAAAUCUAUGAAAACAGCGAUGGAUUUAGAGGCAAAAAAAUAAAUGAAAUAGAGACCAUGGAUUUUAAUGAUCAAAUAUACAACAACGAAAGACCCAUCAUGCCCUGCAAGAAGGAUGGAGUUGGUGAUCAACAUUCAGUGUUUUGUCAGUGGUGGAAGAGAUACUCUGGAGCUGCUGCAGUAUGUCUGGGGUUGCUGUGUGUUCUCCUACUGGCUGGGAUCAUAGGCCUGUUACUCUACCGUGAGUUUGAUAUGUUCUCACUCAAACAUUCUUCAUCAUCAGUGGUGUAACAACCAGGGUUGAAUUACAUUUACAUUCCAGUCAAUUCAAUUCAGAAAGUAAGCCAACUUUCAAUUCCACAUUUUCAUGAUUUGAAAAGCAUUGAAGAUAAUUGGAAUUCAAUUAGAAUUCCAGUUUAUUUCCUGAAUUGACUGGAAUUGAAUGCAACUGACCCCAACCUUGGUAAUGUCUGAUUAACUUUUCCACUGUUA
rnacentral:lncRNA from 8 species